rnacentral:rRNA from 1 species
UUCCGCAAUGGGCGAAAGCCUGACGGAGCAAUACCGCGUGAGGGAUGACGGCCUAUGGGUUGUAAACCUCUUUUUUUCAGGGAGGAAUCAAUGACGUGUACCUGAAGAAUAAGCAUCGGCUAACUCCGUGCCAGCAGCCGCGGUAAUACGGAGGGGGCUAGCGUUGUUCGGAAUUACUGGGCGUAAAGCGCACGUAGGCGGAUCAGUCAGUCAGAGGUGAAAUCCCGGAGCUCAACUUCGGAACUGCCUUUGAUACUGCUGAUCUAGAGUCCGGGAGAGGUGCAUGGAAUUCCGAGUGUAGAGGUGAAAUUCGUAGAUAUUCGGAGGAACACCAGAGGCGAAGGCGAUGCACUGGACCGGUACUGACGCUGAGGUGCGAAAGCGUGG